AGCAGCCGCGGUAAUUCCAGCUCCAAUAGCGUAUAUUAAAGUUGUUGCAGUUAAAAAGCUCGUAGUUGAAUUUCGGGAUCAAUAUGUUGGUCGUGCCUUGGUACGUACUGGCAUUAUUGGUUUCUACCUUCUGAAGAACCCCGAUGUCAUUAAUUUGGUGUCUUGGGGAAUCAGGACUGUUACUUUGAAAAAUUAGAGUGUUUAAAGCAGGCUCGCGCUUGAAUACAUUAGCAUGGAAUAAUGAAAUAGGACGUUUGAUUCUAUUUUGUUGGUUUCUAGGAUUCGACGUAAUGAUUAAUAGGGAUAGUUGGGGGCAUUAGUAUUCAAUUGUCAGAGGUGAAAUUCUUGGAUUUAUUGAAGACUAACUACUGCGAAAGCAUUUGCCAAGGAUGUUUUCAUUAAUUCAAGAACGAAAGUUAGGGGAUCGAAGACGAUCAGAUACCGUCGUAGUCUUAACCAUAAACUAUGCCGACUAGGGAUCGGAUGAUGUUAAUUUUUAAUGACUCAUUCGGCGCCUUAA
rnacentral:rRNA from 1 species